GAUCAUGGCUCAGAUUGAACGCUGGCGGAAUGCUUUACACAUGCAAGUCGAACGGGUAGAGGGGGCAACCCCUCGAGAGUGGCGAACGGGUGAGUAAUAUAUCGGAACGUGCCCAGUCGUGGGGGAUAACGUAGCGAAAGUUACGCUAAUACCGCAUACGAUCUACGGAUGAAAGCGGGGGAUCGCAAGACCUCGCGCGAUUGGAGCGGCCGAUAUCAGAUUAGGUAGUUGGUGAGGUAAAGGCUCACCAAGCCAACGAUCUGUAGCUGGUCUGAGAGGACGACCAGCCACACUGGAACUGAGACACGGUCCAGACUCCUACGGGAGGCAGCAGUGGGGAAUUUUGGACAAUGGACGCAAGUCUGAUCCAGCCAUUCCGCGUGCAGGAUGAAGGCCCUCGGGUUGUAAACUGCUUUUGUACGGAACGAAAAGGUUUGUCUUAAUACGAUGAGCUCAUGACGGUACCGUAAGAAUAAGCACCGGCUAACUACGUG
rnacentral:rRNA from 1 species